rnacentral:rRNA from 1 species
UAGAGUUUUGAUCAUGGCUCAGGACGAACGCUGGCGGCGUGCCUAAUACAUGCAAGUCGAGCGCAGGAAGCCCUCUGAACCCUUCGGGGGGACGACGGUGGAAUGAGCGGCGGACGGGUGAGUAACACGUAAAGAACCUGCCCAUAGGUCUGGGAUAACCACGAGAAAUCGGGGCUAAUACCGGAUGUGUCAUCGGACCGCAUGGUCCGCUGAUGAAAGGCGCUUCGGCGUCGCCCAUGGAUGGCUUUGCGGUGCAUUAGCUAGUUGGUGGGGUAACGGCCCACCAAGGCGACGAUGCAUAGCCGACCUGAGAGGGUGAUCGGCCACACUGGGACUGAGACACGGCCCAGACUCCUACGGGAGGCAGCAGUAGGGAAUCUUCCACAAUGGACGAAAGUCUGAUGGAGCAACGCCGCCUGACCAUGAAGCCUUCGGU